AUUACGUACGCAAACGAUUCGCGCACCCCAUGCCGAGGGACGCGCGUGCGGUCGACUCGGACGGGUCUCCGCUGUCAUCGCGCGCGUACUCAAAUGUGAUAUAUUCGUACAUGUACGUGUUGUACUAUACGCGGUACAUAGGCGGUAAGCACUCGGGGUUACCUGAGUUUCCGUGCUUGCGAGUCGACCGGCAGCUACGUUAGUGUCUUUAUUUUGUUUUUAUAAUAUCGUAGCAUGCGUUCUCGUCUACAUGGAAGACGAACAGCGGACGUUAAAGAGAUCUCGGAUAGAGUUACACAAGAAACACACGGUAGCCAGUGAACAUCGAUCCGUGCAAUGGAUACCACAAGUGGACAUGGUCACCGACAGUCUGGACAUGGCCUUGCUGUCCGUGUACAGUCAUUCGGGUCUGACGUUUCCCCGGACCAACGAAGUGUACAUGCAAAAAGAAACCUUCGUGCUCUGUUUGAAGAAACAACUAAACAACUAUCAACCGGAUCAGAAUGCAGAAAAACUAUUUAGAAAUCAUCCAUUGAAAAUGGGUGGGCUUCUCUGUGAACGAAAAAACAUAAACAGUAUUAAACUUGGAUUAGUUGGAAGCCAUAUUUCACAAACUAAUCAUGGAUACUCUCGAAAAGAAGAUGGGACGUUUUACAAUUAUUAAAUCAUACAUACGAACAAAAUGUUUUCAAUUUAUUCAUGUUAUCAAAAUUUAGAUUUGAAAAACCUUGAAAAACCAUAUAUUUUUAUAAUUCAACAAGUCCAAGGAUCUAUGAGCCCAAAAGUGUGUAAAAUUAUAUUUAAUU